rnacentral:rRNA from 1 species
GAAUUCGCCCUUCCUACGGGAGGCAGCAGUUGGGAAUCUUGGGAAUGGGCGCAAGCCUGACCCAGCGACGCCGCGUGAGCGAUGAAGGCCUUCGGGUUGUAAAGCUCUGUCAUCUGGGAAGAAGACUGGUCCACAAACAGUGGGCUGGGUUGACGGUACCAGAGAAGGAAGCCCCGGCUAACUACGUGCCAGCAGCCGCGGUAAUA